rnacentral:rRNA from 1 species
GACGAACGCUGGCGGCGUGCCUAACACAUGCAAGUCGAACGAAGUGGCGAACGGGUGAGUAAUACGUGGGUAACCUGCCCUCCUUUUUGGGAUAAGCCUUGGAAACGGGGUCUAAUACCGAAUAGAAGGGGAUGGGCUCGGGGCCUAUCGGCUUGUUGGUGGGGUGGUGGCCUGCCAAGGCGGUGACGGGUAGCCGGCCUGAGGGGGUGACCGGCCACAUUGGGGAUGAGAUACGGCCCAGACUCGUCAGGGAGGAAGCAGUGUGGGAUAUUGGACAAUGGGCGAAAGCCUGAUGCGGCGACGCCGCGUGGGGGAUGAGGGCUGUCGGGUUGGAAACCUCUUUCGCUAUAGAACGGGUAGGUGGAGAAGAAGCGCCGGCUAACUACGUGCCAGCAGCCGCGGUAAUAC